UACGUAGGGUGCGAGCGUUGUCCGGAAUUAUUGGGCGUGAAGAGCUUGUAGGCGGUUUGUCGCGUCUGCUGUGAAAUCUCAAGGCUCAACCUUGAGCUUGCAGUGGGUACGGGCAGACUAGAGUGUGGUAGGGGAGACUGGAAUUCCUGGUGUAGCGGUGAAAUGCGCUGAUAUCAGGAGGAACACCGAUGGCGAAGGCAGGUCUCUGGGCCACUACUGACGCUGAGAAGCGAAAGCAUGGGGAGCGAACAGG
rnacentral:rRNA from 1 species